AAAUCCGGGAUUUUUCACCCCAAAAUCCCGUCCCUGGGACCGAAUCCCCAAACCUGGCGCUUUUCACUCCACAUUUGGGGUUUUCCACCCCAUUUUGUGAUCCUGUUCCCCUCACGAAUUUCCCACCUUUUCCCUCCCAAUUGUUCACCUAUUCCCUCACAGUUUUCCUUCCUUUUCCUCCAUUUUGUGACCCCGUCCCCUCACGAUUUUCCCUCCGAUUCCCCUCACAAUAUUCCCAUCUUUUCCCUCACAAUUUUUCUGCAUUUUCCCUCAGAAUUUUCCUGCCUUUUCCUCCAUUUUGGGAUCCUGUUCCCCUCACAAUUUUCUCACCUUUUCCCUCACAAUUUUCCUGCCUUUUCCCUACCAAUUUUCUCCACCUUUUCCCUCACAAUUUUCCCGCAUUUCCCCUCAAAAUUUUUCCACCUAUUCCCUCACAAUUUUCCCGCCUUUUUCCCCACAACUUUCCCACUUCUUCCCUACCAAUUUUCUCCACCUUUUCUCCUCACAAUUUUCCCGCAUUUCCCCUCACAAUUUUCCCGCCUUUUCCUCCAUUUUGUGACCCCAUGCCCUCACAGUUUUCCCGCCUUUUUCUCCAUUUUGUGAUCCUGUUCCCCUCACGAUUUUUGCACCUUUUCCCCUCACGAUUUUCCCACAUUUUCCCUCACGAUUUUCCCACAUUUUCCCUCACAAUUUUCCCGCCUUUUCCCUCACGAUUUUCCCACAUUUUCCCUCACAAUUUUCCCACCUUUUCUUCCCACAAUUUUCCCGCCUUUCCCCUCACAAUUUUCCUGCAUUUUCCCUCAAAAUUUUCCCGCCUUUUCCUUCACAAUUUCCCCGCCUUUUCCCUCACGAUUUUCCCGCCUUUUCCUCCAUUUUGUGACCCUUUCCCCCCACGAUUUCCCCACAGGAGGAAGGGCUCAAAUUGA
rnacentral:lncRNA from 1 species